AUUGAACGCUGGCGGAAUGCUUUACACAUGCAAGUCGAACGGCAGCACGGACUUCGGUCUGGUGGCGAGUGGCGAACGGGUGAGUAAUAUAUCGGAACGUGCCCAGUCGUGGGGGAUAACGUAGUGAAAAUUACGCUAAUACCGCAUACGAUCUAUGGAUGAAAGCGGGGGAUCGCAAGACCUCGCGCGAUUGGAGCGGCCGAUAUCAGAUUAGGUAGUUGGUGAGGUAAAGGCUCACCAAGCCGACGAUCUGUAGCUGGUCUGAGAGGACGACCAGCCACACUGGAACUGAGACACGGUCCAGACUCCUACGGGAGGCAGCAGUGGGGAAUUUUGGACAAUGGACGCAAGUCUGAUCCAGCCAUUCCGCGUGCAGGACGAAGGCCUUCGGGUUGUAAACUGCUUUUGUACAGAACGAAAAGGUCUCUAUUAAUACUAGGGGCUCAUGACGGUACUGUAAGAAUAAGCACCGGCUAACUACGUG
rnacentral:rRNA from 1 species